GAUGAACGCUAGCUACAGGCUUAACACAUGCAAGUCGAGGGGCAGCAUGGUCUUAGCUUGCUAAGACUGAUGGCGACCGGCGCACGGGUGAGUAACACGUAUCCAACCUGGCCCAUACUCGGGUAUAGCCUCUCGAAAGGGAGAUUAAUCCCCGAUGUUGUUGUUAUGUCGCAUGAUGUUUCAACCAAAGAAUUUCGGUAUGGGAUGGGGAUGCGUUCCAUUAGCUUGUUGGCGGGGUAACGGCCCACCAAGGCGACGAUGGAUAGGGGUUCUGAGAGGAAGGUCCCCCACACUGGAACUGAGACACGGUCCAGACUCCUACGGGAGGCAGCAGUGAGGAAUAUUGGUCAAUGGGCGUAAGCCUGAACCAGCCAAGUAGCGUGAAGGAUGACUGCCCUACGGGUUGUAAACUUCUUUUGUAUGGGAAUAAAGUUCAGUACGUGUACUGUUUUGUAUGUACCAUACGAAUAAGCAUCGGCUAAUUCCGUG
rnacentral:rRNA from 1 species